CCAGAUAGCAGGUUGUCAGUAAAUGUGUUUUUAAUAAGUGUUUUGUUUUAGAAAAAUUUUACAUUUGUAGAACAUUUACAAACACAGUACAAAGAGUUCCUGUCCACCCCUCACCUAGUUUGCCCUUUUGUGAUUUCAAACAGAUGGUAAAGUAAACUCAGAAUGAAAGAGCCCUCAUUGUAAUCAUUUUCUGAACAAAGACACCGCAUAUGAGCCUGUAACUGCAACCAUCUCCCUGUAGGUCAGCCGGCAACAUCCUGUCAGAUCAGCCCAGCUGGAAUGAACCCUGGGUGUCAAAGAAUGUUCUGGGAAUUUCCCGGAGCUUUGUGGAUUUCAGACCUGACACUUCACUGGCUCUUACAACAGAGGGGAAGUUUCCAUACAAUUCAGUGAUGAAUGAAUCUGAGAAACACGGAAAAAGGGAUUAGGAGCCAGCCUUCCUGCUUACUAACUGCACCUGAUGUGACUCGGCAGGAAACUUCCACCAAAACACACACAUUCUCCAUAAGCUGGUCAUCCUCCUAUACACUUAAUCUUUCCCAACCAAUCCUCCCAAAAGAAAAUAAAUAUUUGUAGAUGAAAGGAGAACUGCCUUCUCAUCCUUUACAGCUGCUGGUGUGCAAGCUGUUAAGCAUAGAGUGUUUAAUUAAUGGAUAGAUACCAUUAGAGAGACAGCUGGACCUGCAUCCAGAUGAGUUUGGAUUCAAGGUGCCAGGAGAUAAAGAUCUGAAAGUGGGAAAGCUGAACUGCAAUUGGGUUCAUUUAUAAAAGAGGCUGUUAAAGGUCAACUGUGUUUUCUUGUGCUAGAGAUAAAGAGAUGCUAUUAAAAACAAUUGGAAAGUAAUUCAUAAGGGAGCAGUAAGUCACUCAUGUUAAAUUAAUUUGUCUUUCUGAUAGCGUGGCACUCAUGAUGGGAAAGUAAAUUUACCCAAAAUCAAGGUCUUUCAAAAACAGCCAUUGAUCAUGUCUUCCCCGCAAAGCCACUGAAAUAAACUCCUUUGUGCUGGGACCACUGGUGCUGUGUGAUCAUAGCAUCUCCAUAGUUCAUUGAAGCCCCUUCCCAGGCUGAGAAUUAACCAAUUAUUCUGAAGGACAGCAAGUGCAGUGACAUUUCUGUGGAUAUGCUGAGAUGCCUGAGCCUGCUGAUGUCUUUCUGUCGCCUCUGAUGAACUAGUGACCAAGCACCAGAACAACCCAUGAUGCACAAUUCCACUUUCCUGAAUUUAGCAACGUAUUAAAACAUUCUAGCCCUCUGAGCUCCACUUACAACCCUCCCACCUCUCUGUCACUACAACACACCCCAUGUUCAAACAUAUACUUACCAUGAUGAAAACUUUUUAAUUUAUCCAAAGAAUGUAUCUACAAUUACGAAUGGCAGUUUGUUUAACUCCACAUAGUGACAUCAUACAUUUUCUCUGUUCAUCUCCUCUUCAAGGUAAAGCCUUUCAUUGAAACACUAUGAACUGUUCUCCUCUUCAGUUUCCUGAUGCCAGCACAUGGUACAACAAAGGGUGAUUGCUUAGUGCUCAGAAAUGUCAGCCUAUUAAGACACAUCUUCAUCUUUCUCUGGGCAAGAUGGAGAUUGUGUCUAUUUGCUGCCACGCAUGGGGAUGAGAGGGGAAAAAUCCACUCCAUCAGAUUGUGAUUCCUGUAGACUUAACCCUGGGUAUUACCAGGUUCUCUCUCUCUCUCUCUUUGUUGCCAGAGGAUAACUGCUUGUUGCUUCUUUUUCUUUCUUGAGAUUGAAAACUAAUUGGGGUC
rnacentral:lncRNA from 1 species